UAAUUUACAGAAUUCUAACCAUGAAAAGAUUAGCUGUAGUAAACACAUUGAUCUAUCCGAUUUGGUGUUUGGUUACCUGAUGUCCUAAUUCUGAUCUUUGAUUCAGCAUUCCAGUUCCCCCACUGCCUUUAUAAUGGCUCAGUAUAUGCCUUAAAAAUUUAACUUUAUCAAAAUUCCCACAUCUUAGAGUAUUGAAAAAUAACUCUGGAAGGAAUAUAUCUAGUAUAUCUAUUUCUCUACCCCACUGGAAGAUCAGUCAUAGUUAUGCUGUUGAUGAAGUUUGUUUUAACCUGGUUUAAAAACCAAGGAAUAGAAGACAAAGAUUCUGCAGAUUUAUGGCUUUACCUUUGAAAUUUUAUUUUAUGAAAGUAAAAAGCAUCCUUACUGUCAGCCAGUAGUCAAGUUCAUGGGCUCAGAGCCCAUCUGCUUUUUUUGCGACUUCGUUUUUUGCCAAUCUGCUAUGUAAUGCUACUUUUGGGGUGAUUCUCAUAUGUACUUAUCAUACAUAUAGGUCUCUUUUUUAAAUAUUAUUGAGUAUUUUAUCACAAUGCUACUUGGUGAUAACUGAAAUUACAUGUGUGUGCAUAUAUAUAUAUUUAACAUUUCACAUCAAAUGUUGGUUCCUUUCAAUCUAAAGCCUAGUAUUCCUUGGAGAGUGAAGAACUUGCAGAAUUGUCAACACACAUCCUUUUUGUGCAAGGAGCAUAGUUGACAAAUGUAUAUAGCAAGCAACAAGCUUCAUGCUGUACUAACACUCCAGUAACUCAGAAUUUUCAUGUGAUAAGUGAUGGUUACUUGAGGGUAAGGAACAGCAGCAGGGAUUCACCUGUAACAAAUAAAUAGGUUUGGCAUUAAGUCUAAAUGGUAUCCUCAAAUCACUCUUAAUUUUGUCUGGUAGGGUGCAAUGGUGCAUACUUACUCAAAUGAAUCUAGAUUAAUUUUUCAAAAUUUUGGUAUGAAGUUUCCUAUAUAUAAAAAGCCUCUUUGAGAUUUUCCCCUCUGUUUCUGAAUCCUGGCCUUUUUUUUCAUUAGUGUAGUCAUAUUAGUAAAUCUGCACUGGUAAGUAUAGAAGAUAAAUUACUUCCUAGGUUCAUACCAGUCGUUAGCCCAUUACAAUAUAAUGGAAAGGAUAUAAGGACUUCUUUUAAAUUGAGGUGCUCAAAUGACUUUAUGUAACACUUCAAACUUGUUUCUACAUGAUGUUAAAAGAUUUUUAUAGAAGAGGGAGAUGAGAUAUUAAUGCAGGGUCAAAGUAAAAGUGCAAAACAUUCUUAGGCACCCAAACGUGAUCAGUCCCAAACUUGGAAAUACUAAGUAAAAGCUCUAAACCAGGAAAAGUAAAAAACCAGAUCCAUUAUUCUCUCCUGUGAAGCCUAUGUAGAUACUAAUUACUGUGUAAUGGUAUUUAGAGCAGCAUAUAGAUUAAAUCAUAGUUGCCUUAGAACGCCAUGCACUCUGCUUUGGAGAACACUGAUCUAGAUAUCAUCAAAGAAUUAUAGUUGCAUACAUCAUUAGUAUGUUUGAUCGUAACAAUAUGUCCAUUUUAAGUAAGUCUCCUACCAGAGAUUAAAAUGCUGACCUCUAGUAGGAUGACUUUUCUUUCUGAAAAGAAAGUUAGAGGAGAGAACAGCAGGAUAUGGAAGUACUGACAAAUGGUCUGGCAUAGGGGAUGUUUGAAUCUGGAUUGGUUGAAAAUGCAGAGAAACUCAUCCAUGUGGAUUGGGGAAAAAAGUUGUGGUCAGAAUAUGUAUCAAUAUGCAGAAGACAGCAGUAGCUUUUGUACUUUCAUAAAUGCUUCUAGUUUCCUUACAGCUAACUAUUAGUUGAUAAAUUCCAAAUUCUGUUUUAUGUUGUUAUCUGGGGUAUUCAGACUAAAAUCAGGAACAAUGCUUACACAUGGGAACUAAGCUGGAUCUGAGUUUUUUAUAUUCAGGCACCUAAAUAGUGUCUGGUGCACAUCAGAUGCCACUUAGGACUAUGGACGACUGGUGUGCUUUUCUCAGCAGCUUCUCACUUUCCAUACAGCCUUUAAGUGUGUUAUGUAGACCACAGGUUGGAAAUCCCAGAACUGAGUUACUGCAAAGUGAAAGGAGAUCAAAUUUGCCAAGUGAAAAAUAUUUUGGACGGAGAUUUGAAAGGAGUGUUGUUAAAUAUAACAGUGAGCAAAGCCUGUGUGUGAGAUGAAGCUCAUUGAGAAAGUUUUUUCAAUCCAGGCAGGCUGGAGAUGAGAAAGAGAGAAAGUGAAUUCUGGUAGUAGAGGCAAAGGAGUCUGAAGUAUAUGUCAGUCUGUCAGCAGAGAGGAAGAUGAGGCAGUAAAACAGCUUUUGCUGAUCUUCAGCAUUCCCAGCAUAUUGUUGUAAGGAGGAAUCUUAACAGAUUUCCUGUAUACAAUAUAUGCUAGGCAUGCUAGCCUUUGGGAACUGGAUAUCAAGGAGGAGAGCUGAAAGUUGAUAUAGAGCCGUUGAUAUGGAAACUAGCUGUAGCGCUUGCCUGCUAGAAUGAUGGUCAUGUGGAUUAAAAAUGUUACUGCAGUGAGUUUAGAUUACAGUAAUACCUGGGAGGAAUGGUGGUCAUCUGGCCCCAAACAUGCGCUUAUGCAUUGGAUUUGCAUGGCAGGGGGGCUACAGGGGUGGCUUCUGUGAGAAGCUGCUGGAAGCUUCUCCCCAUGUCUGAUAGAGCCAAUGCCAGCUGGCUCAAAGAUAGACCUGCUGCUGGCCAAGGCUGAGCCAGUGGGCAACAGUAGUAGUGCCUAUGGGCUAACAUAUUUAAGAAGGGGGGAAGAAAAAAUCCCUGUGCAACUGCAUCUGGAGAGAGGAGUGAAGAUAUGAGAGAAACAACUCUGUAGACACCAAAAUCGGUGGAGAAGGAGGGGAAGAGGUGCUCCAGGCACCGGAGCUGCGAUUCCCCUGCAGCUGCGGUGAAGACCAUGGUGAGGCAGGCUGUCCCCCUGCAGCCCAUGGAGGUUAACAGUGGAGCAGAUACCUACCUGCAGCCUGUGGAGGACCCCGUGCCGGAGGAGGUGGAUGCCCAAAAGAGGGUGUGACCCCAUCACAGCACUGGGAAGCUCAUGCUGGAGAAGGUUCCUGGCAGGACUUGUGACCCCAUGGAGAUAGGAGCCCAGGCUGGAGCAGGUUUUCUGGCAAGACUUGUGACCCUGUGGGGGACCCAUGCUGUAGCAGUCAGUUCCUGAAGGACUGCACCCUGUGGAAAGGACCCAUGCUGCAGCAGUUCAUAAAGAACAGUAGCCUGUGGGAAGCACUAGCGUUGGAGAAGUUCAUGGAGAACUGUCUUCUGUGAGAGGGACCCCACGCUGGAACAGGGGAAGCAUGUAUGGACAUGUAUUGACAUGUGGCUGUCAAUACAAAAGGGUUGGUUUUUUUUCUUCUACUAGAUGUGACAUAGCAAAGCAUCCUGCUCUCUGCAACUUUGAUGUGGUGGAGAUUUGAAGAAGGCAGAAUAUUUUUUCAUUCUUAUAAUAGAUUUCCACAGGCAGGCAAGGCAUGAUAUGUAUGUGAAAGGAGAAAUGGAUAGGUUCCUCACGCUGACUGAAAAGCAGAUUAUGGAUUGGGCUAGUACAAAAGUUAACAUUUACAUUGUACUUAGGGAAGGCAUUUUCAGGGUAUUUCUGUGUCCCUCUUUUGUUCCAUUUAGAAAGAGUACAAGUGCUACUCAAAUACACAGAGUCUGCAUAGUAGUAUGUCAGAGUAUUAAUCUCUGCCAAGCAUGUGGAGGGGAAGGGCUCAUAAAAGAAUUAUGUGAACUUCUGUGUGUCUGCUAAGUCUACGUUUUUUAUUUGGAGGCAAUUUACUAUAUGUAACUGCAUAUAGUACUCAGUGUAAUAGAUUUUUUUUUUUGUUUUUUAGAAGGAAAGAAGGAAAUGUAUUUGGGGAGUUAAAUGUGUCGUUCUCUUGCCCAUUCCUAUAGGAAGCAGAAUGGUUAAGGGAAGGCAGUCAAAAAAUGCAUAGGAACUACGCAAGUAAUUAUAUCCAAAGCAUAGUGUUGGUUGAGUACUCAUUGAUGUUGCUGAGGCGAAGGCUUUUUGGUCUAUGUUUUAAUAAGAAGAGACAAAGAAACAUCUGAGAAAGGACUUUGAAAGUGUUGCAUACAUUGAAGUACAUCUUCUGUUGCCAUUUCUUUUUGCUUUCAGAACUUGAUGUGCUUCUGUACAUGUACCUUGAUAAAAAAAUAUUGGCUGCUGAAAUGUCUGUGUAGGGCUGAGGUCAGCUGAACAGGGAGAAUAGGUGUGGAAUGCUCUCUAACAGAGAAUGGUCAGCUGUGCUAAUCUGGGCCUUGACCAGAUGAUGACAGAGUUAGUCUAACAGAUUUUGCUGGUCUGCAUAUUUUUAUUGUGAUAUAUGCAGUAGUAGCAGUAGUUUUUUGUCAAAUAGUAUCCUCUCUAGCUUUCACUAGAAAGUGCUGUUGCUUUUGGUCAACAGCGAAUUUUUAAUUUUCCCAUAUCAUGUAAUGCUUUGCAUUUUCCCAAGUAUAGGUACUGUAUUAUGUUAACUGUGGUUUAAUGUAAUAUGAUACAGUUUUCCAAAUUGGGACUGAAUUUUUGUCUUAGCCAAAUUGCAAUAUAGUUCAGGUAUUUUAAUACAGGAAUGGAAAAGAAAUGGAGUUUUAUUAAAGGUCAUUGGAUUUUUUUUCCAGUAAAGUAUUGUAAUCAAAAAACCCUAAUUUAUCACACUAAUACAUUUUCAGCAAUAUAUGUUAAUUUCCAGAAUACAUUGGGACAGGUUGUUUUGUACAAAAUAGAAUUGGUUGUUGGAGAGGGAGGAAAAAUCCGUAUUAUAUUAGCCAGUAACCCAAUUGUUGCUACCUCUUUGGCCAGUCAUGCAUUUUUUCUAUGCAGAUUUCCUGUUUAUGGUGGAAGCAGUGAUACUACUGAGCUUCCUUGAUGCUUAGUUUAUCUGUGUCGUAAAAUACUUACAUUUUGGGGAGAAAGGAGCUGGAGAGGUGACAACUGUACACAGUGUUACGUGGACUAAACAGGAAGGUGCCCUGAAGCAGAGAGAGAAGACUAAGCAGUAGCUGUAUACACAGGAGUGUAAUGCUUGUGAAAGAUCCUGGAUCAACAGUUGCAGAGAUUGAACUCCUCUACCCACAGGAAAGGUUUUUCUACACCAGCAGGAGGUCUUCCCUUCCAUCUUAUGGGGACACUUACCUCUUGAUGAUGCCCCCUUCACAAUGAAGGGAAGAAAGGAUGGACGAGCAGCAAUGUGGAAUGGGGUGAUGUCCACACUUGGGUUUACAGUCAUAAUGAACACUGUCCUACUAACAUGGAGAACUGAAUAAAAGAGUUGUGAAUUCUAAGUCA